GACGAACGCUGGCGGCGUGCUUAACACAUGCAAGUCGAACGAUGAAGAAGAGAAACGCGAACUUCGGUUCAAAUUUCACUUCGGAUUAGUGGCAGACGGGUGAGUAACGCGUGAGCAACCUACCUCUUACAAAGGGAUAGCCUCGGGAAACCGUGAUUAAUACCAUAUGACACAUUCAUAAGGCAUCUUAAGAAUGUUAAAGCUACGGCGGUAAGAGAUGGGCUCGCGUCCCAUUAGCUAGGUGGUGAGGUAACGGCCCACCAAGGCGACGAUGGGUAACCGGCCUGAGAGGGUGAACGGUCACAUUGGAACUGAGACACGGUCCAAACUCCUACGGGAGGCAGCAGUGGGGAAUAUUGCACAAUGGAGGGAACUCUGAUGCAGCGACGCCGCGUGAGCGAUGAAGGAAUUCGUUUCGUAAAGCUCUGUUCUAUGGGAAGAAAAGGACUUUACCAUAGGAGAAAGCCCCGGCUAAAUACGUG
rnacentral:rRNA from 1 species